CUCUAUCCUUGACCUCCCUAAACACCCGUCUCAGAUCUUUGAAACACAUUUCUCCCAGCUGAACUGCAGCUCAACAUCCCUUCCCUACAAGCUGAUCUACAAGGUGUUUAAAAGUCUGAAGGAGCCUCCUUUUCCCCAGUUACACCAGGAAUUCAGGCCCACAAGUCUUACGAUUAACAGGCUGAAAGAAGAUAGAUGUGGUCAUUGUUUGCAUUACAGUUUUGAGCUUUGCUGUGAAAUGUAUAUGAAGAGAAGUAUACAUUUGAUACCAGACAGACAGAUAUGGUAGAUCAUAGGGCUAUCUAUCAUGGCUCCCCAAAUCAAACUUCCCCUGUUUUCUUUCCUAUUCUGAUUCUGUCCCAUCAUAUACACAUUUUCUCCCUUAUUCUCUACAGGGGUAGUUUCCACACAGGAAGAAUGCACAUGUCAGGAAGAAAGAUCAGCUAGAACCAUGUCCUCAACAUGCUAGUUGUCAGCUAAAUUCAAUAUGAUGUAGAAACCUGUCUAACUCUCUCCCAAGUCUCAACUAAUGAAAAGUAGAUGCUUGAGACUACAGCCAUGAGAAGAGGAAUGGUGGGUGGGGAGAGGAUGUUUAAUCCAUUCCCCUUGUGCCCAGGGCUGGCCUUAGGGGUGGACGAGCUGGGCAGUCUCCCGGCACACCAAGCUGAGCUCAGCGGCUGUGUUUUUGAAUGUACCGUCUGCAGUGAGCUGGAGUGGCAAAAAGUAAGUGUCUGUCACCUUUUGUUCAAGGUUCUGCAGGUUGUAACUUCAAAAAUGAUCUUCCUUCAGUUAGCUUUAAAGUACGUUUAUUGUGUACAAUUUUUAUUAUGUACAUGUUUAUUUUAUUGUAAGCCACCCUGAGUGCCCUAUUAUAGGGUAAAAGGGCAGGAUACAAAUAUUUAGAAGAAGAAGAAGAAGAAGAAGAAGAAGAAGAAGAAGAAGAAGAAGAAGAAGAAGAAGAAGAAGAAGAAGAAGAAGAAGGACUUUUUUCAGUUUCCACUUGAUGUCAUUUGUGCUACGUAAAAAUCAGUGGAACACAGCUUUACUCUGAGGCAAUGAUACUGAGCAAAUAAUAAUAAAAUAAAGCCAUAUGCUGUAAGAGG